rnacentral:rRNA from 13 species
UAAUUUGUAAAAUGAUGUAUAGAGACUGACGCCUGCCCGGUACUGUAAAGUGAAAAAAAAAAAGUUCUGGCUUUUUUUAUAAGUCUCAGUAAACGGCGGCUGUAACUCUGACGGUCCUAAGGUAGCGAAAUUCCUUGGUAUUUAAUUGGUGUCCUGCAUGAAUGGCGUAACGACUGUCCUACUGUCUUAAAAAUAAUUUCAGUGAAAUUGAAAUUUUCGU